AAAAAAAAUAUUAGUCUAGAAAAAAGUAAUACUAGAAAAUUCCCAAACAUCGUGGCCAAAUAGGGACGAUAGAGAAGGAAAGCUCGUUGUUGUUUGUUAAUCAGUGUUGUCGAUUUGAUGGAUAUUUUAAAAACACGGCAAAAAUAAACAAACAAUAAAUAAAAGACUUUGCCACGUUACCGACAUAGCUAGAAUGCUCGAAAGUGAGCUCAUUUUUUGUUUCUUUCGUUUGAAUGAUACUACUAGACGAAUUGGAACGGAUCCCACGAUAUUAAAACCUUAUCGCUCCUCAAUUAGUUCAUCAUCUUAAUUUGUUGUCUACGUCGAUGCAACUAAUUAAUUAGACUUCUCUCGAACCCUACUGUUUUUAUUUAACCGAUAUAACUAAACCAUGACUGAUUGAUUGACCUAGUUAGCUCGAAACAUGAGUGAAAACACUAUCUCGAACAUAUCAGCGAUACAUGAUAAUCUCUGUCAAACUUCAUCUCCAUUAAGACAACGUGCGUACUCCUCUUGAUGAACACUGACACAUAUGCAGCGAUCCAUAAUCUAGACGAAAUUGACGGUGAGCUUCGUCGAAAUCUUCGAAGAGGCAGUCGACGGAUGAGGCUUCAUGAAGGAAGGAGUCUGGGGCGGGUCUAUGUUCGGUGCGACUUUCUUCCAAGACUCCACAAACGUUCGUCGACGGAAUUUCCGUUGAAAAGGCACGAGCCGUCGCCGAUUUCGAGGAUCUGGCGGCGAUCCGUCGUAGAGGAGGCGAGAAGCUUGUCUAAACAUGGAGGUGAUUUGGUGAUGAUGAAUCCAUGUCGCAGAUGAGAGAGAGGAAGACGAUAAGAAGAAAAAAGAAAGAAAAGAAAAAAAGAAAAAAGAAAAAAGAAAAAGGAAAAAAAAUCAAAAACACAAUAUGCUGACACGUGUGGUAAGGAUCUCCUUUGUGAUCGGUUGCAAAAACCAUGAAUUAAAGAUCGGUUAUAUGAAUUUAAUUUUGUUUCCA